UACGUAGGGUGCAAGCGUUGUCCGGAAUUAUUGGGCGUAAAGAGCUCGUAGGCGGUUUGUCGCGUCUGCUGUGAAAACGCGAGGCUUAACCUCGGGCCUGCAGUGGGUACGGGCAGACUAGAGUGCGGUAGGGGAGAGUGGAAUUCCUGGUGUAGCGGUGGAAUGCGCAGAUAUCAGGAGGAACACCGGUGGCGAAGGCGGGUCUCUGGGCCAAAACUGACGCUGAGGAGCGAAAGCGUGGGGAGCGAACAGG
rnacentral:rRNA from 1 species